GGCAGGAUGGCCGAGUGGUCUAAGGCGCUGCAUUCAGGUCGCAGUCUCCCCUGGAGGCGCGGGUUCGAAUCCCGCUCCUGUCA
rnacentral:tRNA from 1 species